rnacentral:rRNA from 1 species
CGUGGCUAACCUGCCCUUGGGACGGGGACACCCCCGGGAAACUGGGGCUAAUCCCCGAUAGGUGAAGAUUCCUGGAAUGGGUUUUUGCCGAAAAGACGUUUAGGGCAUGCUCCUAAGCGUUGCCCAAGGAUGGGGCCGCGGCCGAUCAGGUUGUUGGUGAGGUAAUGGCUCACCAAGCCUUUAACCGGUUCGGGCCGUGGGAGCGGUAGCCCGGAGAUGGGCACUGAGACAAGGGCCCAGGCCCUACGGGGCGCAGCAGUCGCGAAAACUUCGCAAUAAGCGAAAGCUUGACGGGGCCAUCCCGAGUGCCAUCUGCUGAGGAUGGCUUUUACCCAGUGUAGAUAGCUGGGAGAAUAAGGAGAGGGCAAGUCUGGUGUCAGCCGCCGCGGUAAUACCAGCUCUCCGAGUUGUGGGGACGUUUAUUGAGCCUAAAGCAUCCGUAGCCGGCUGGGCAAGUCCUCUGUUAAAUCCAGCGACAAAUCGUUGGCCUGCGGGGGAUACUGCUCGGCUAGGGGGCGGGAGAGGCCGUCGGUAUUCUUGGGGUAGGGGUGAAAUCCUAUAAUCCCAGGAGGACCACCAGUGGCGAAGGCUGUCGGCUAGAACGCGCCCGACGGUGAGGGAUGAAAGCUGGGGGAGCGAACCGGAUUAGAUACCCGGGUAGUCCCAGCUGU